rnacentral:rRNA from 1 species
GAUGAACGCUGGCGGCGUGCCUAAUACAUGCAAGUCGAGCGAAGCGGGGACGGGUGAGUAACACGUGGAUGACCUCCUAUAAGACUGGGAUAACUUCGGGAAACCGGAGCUUAAACGGAUACUUAUAGAUGGUUCCGCGCGGCAUUAGCUAGUUGGUAAGGUAACGGGUUACCAAGGCAACGAUGCAUAGCCGACCUGAGAGGAUGACCGGCCACACUGGAACUGAGACACGGUCCAGACUCCUACGGGAGGCAGCAGUAGGGAAUCUUCCGCAAUGGGCGAAAGCCUGACGGAGCAACGCCGCGUGAGUGAUGAAGGUCUUCGGAUCGUAAAACCCUGUUAUUAGGGAAGCGGUACCUAAUCAGAAAGCCACGGCUAACUACGUGCCAGCAGCCGCGGUAAUAC